GUGAUGUUGACACACCCUGGUCCUGGUAGGUUCAACUGACACACACAUAGCGUUAACUGUCUAGAAGUGAUGUCGCACCCUGGUGUUGAUAGGUUCAACUGACACGCACAUGGUGUUAACUGUCUGGUAGUGAUGUUAACACACCCUGGUGUUGGUACGUUCAACUGACAGACACAUGAUGUUAACUGUCUGGUCGUGAUGUUGACACACCCUGGU